UUCACUCCUGAAAACAUGGCCGUGGUCCAUAAACCCAGUGCUUUUGGUCAAGGUGCAGAGCAUCCCAAUGAGAUGUAACUCCUUUUUAUCAUGCAUUCCAGGGAGAGCUUGUCUGUCCUCUGCAUGGGAAGCCUUACCUGGGCAGGAUGGCCGCAGCGACCCCACUGGGAGCGGAAGACUUUGGAGACACAGUUGUUGCCCUCCACUGCAGCUGUAGUUCCUGCCGGGCAGAAUGUCCAUAAGGGCUGACUUAUUCAGCUGUCCUACGAAACAAAAGCUUGGCAGUUAGUUCUGUGGGCAAAGAACGUAGACAAUAAUGUAAGUAAGACCUCAAGUUCAAGUGCUGUGGGGAGCUUUGUCCGUGUGUGGAGUGGAGCUCAAUGGAAUCCGUGUCUAUAUAAGACACAAAAUCUCUGAGAACGGACCGAUGAUGGGAAUGGGUGAUGAACCUGAAACAUGUUUGAUCUCAGUUGGAGGUGCUUUCGUCAUUGUUUUCUGCUGAGAAACAUUUGAUAUUGCUUUUCAUUUGCCAACACAAAUGAUUGAAACAUUUCCCUGCUGAUGUGAUCCUGGCUGGCCAGCCCUCCUCUGACAGCCUGAGAGAGUGUUGGAAGCGGGUGGCCUCCUCUCUUUUCAUUGAACCAUCUUUAAGACAGGCAGACUGACUCAAAAG
rnacentral:lncRNA from 1 species